rnacentral:rRNA from 2 species
AUUAGUUUGAUCAUGGCUCAGAUUGAACGCUAGCGGCAAGCUUAACACAUGCAAGUCGUGCGGCAGCGUGAAAAAUUUUUGACGGCGAGCGGCAAACGGGUGAGUAAUAUCUGGGGAUCUACCUUAAAGAGGGGGAUAACUAUUGGAAACGAUAGCUAAUACCGCAUAAAAACCAAAAUAGGGGGUCUUACCUUGUGCUUUUUGAUGAACCCAGACGAGAUUAGCCUGAUGGUGAGGUAUAUGCUUACCAAAGCUACAAUCUCUAGCUGGUCUGAGAGGAUGACCAGCCACACUGGAACUGAGACACGGUCCAGACUCCUACGGGAGGCAGCAGUGGGGAAUAUUGCACAAUGAGCGAAAGCUUGAUGCAGCUAUGCCGCGUGUAUGAAGAAGGCCUUAGGGUUGUAAAGUACUUUCAGCGGGGAAGAAAAAUAUAUAAUACCUUUAUGUCUUGACGUUACCCGAAUAAGAAGCACCGGCUAACUCCGUGCCAGCAGCCGCGGUAAUACGGAGGGUGCUAGCGUUAAUCAGAAUUACUGGGCGUAAAGAGCUCGUAGGCGGUAUAUUAAGUCAGAUGUGAAAUCCCUAGGCUUAACCUAGGAACUGCAUUUGAAACUGAUAAACUAGAGUAUCGUAGAGGGAGGUAGAAUUCUAGGUGUAGCGGUGAAAUGCGUAGAUAUCCGGAGGAAUACCUGUGGCGAAAGCGACCUCCUGGACGAAUACUGACGCUGAGGUGCGAAAGCGUGGGGAGCAAACAGGAUUAGAUACCCUGGUAGUCCAUGCUGUAAACUAUGUCGACUUGGAGGCUGUCUCUUUAAGAGGUGACUUCCGAAGCUAACGCAUUAAGUCGACCGCCUGGGGAGUACGGUCGCAAGGCUAAAACUCAAAUGAAUUGACGGGGGCCCGCACAAGCGGUGGAGCAUGUGGUUUAAUUCGAUGCAACGCGAAAAACCUUACCUGGUCUUGACAUCCAUAGAAUUCUUCAGAAACGAAGAAGUGCCUUCGGAACUAUGAGACAGGUGCUGCAUGGCUGUCGUCAGCUCGUGUUGUGAAAUGUUGGGUUAAGUCCCGCAACGAGCGCAACCCUUGUCCUUUGUUGCCAUCGGUUCGGCCGGGAACUCAAAGGAGACUGCCGGUUAUAAACCGGGGGAAGGUGGGGACGACGUCAAGUCAUCAUGGCCCUUACGACCAGGGCUACACACGUGCUACAAUGGCGUAUACAAAGAGAUGCAACUCUGUAAAGAUAAGCAAACCUCAUAAAGUACGUCUCAGUUCGGACUGGAGUCUGCAACUCGACUCCACGAAGUCGGAAUCGCUAGUAAUCGUGUAUCAGAAUGUCUCGGUGAAUACGUUCCCGGGCCUUGUACACACCGCCCGUCACACCAUGGGAGUGAAUUGCAAAAGAAGCAGGUAGCUUAACUCAGGAGGGCGCUUACCACUUUGUGGUUCAUGACU